UCCAUUUCCGACACAGAACUAUUCGUAACCUCAUCGCCUGCCGCUCAACGCGGUUAAGCAAAUUAAAGUUACAAAUAUGUACACAUACUUGGACGUAAUAUUGUUUUGUGAUUAACUAUUUUUUUCUGAGUGUAAAGGGCAAACUACGCACGGUAGAAAUUCGAGAGCAUCCAACACACCAAGUAACAAUUCAUCAAAUGUUGCUGUGAGGCGGUGAAGUUAAUGCUGACACAGUGUCGGGAAAAGGACCCUUUUCUCCUGAAUUGACAACCAUUGUCGUAAUGAAUAUUUAACCAACGGUACAGAAAUGGUUGUUCAGAGCCAGCUACGCGUAAUUUGGUGCCAUUUGAUGGCUAGGCAAAGUAAAUUUGUAUCCAAAGUCGUCUGGACGUCCAAAAGAUGCGGUGUGGGAUAAUACAAUCGAUCUAUAUGUUUAUUAACAUGCUACUCGUAUCGAUAAUUCAAUAGCUGUUCUUCAAUCAGGGCACAGAUGGUUAAAGACACAGUGAAACAUUCAACCAAUCAAGAAACGACCGCUGUAACGCUAAUGGUUCUUUUUGAAUAGCUGACGGAGUGCCUGGAUGGAUGCAACCUGGAUGGACAAGCAACACCAUGAAAUAGUCAAAACGGUUGUUCAUGCACGGAAGUGGAUAUUAAAUGAAAUCUACGCGUAAUUUGGUGCCAUUUGUUGGCUAACCAAAUCAAAAAGGCAGUCUAAGUGUACUUCACAUCCAGGAGAUGGCUCGGGACAUUUAGCCUACAGAUGGAGUUAAUCAUUCAGCGUAUCAAGAAACGAACAAAAAUGCUUAUGAUGUAUCGACAAGGACACAAGAAUGAAUCUUUUUUCUCACCUGGAAGCAACGGUGAACUAUGAAAGCAGUAAGCUAAAUCUUUCUUUCGUGUGUAAUCCCAAACAAAAGUCCCAACACUAAUUAUAGCUGUUUAAGGCAUGCAGCAUAAUUUACAGUUCUAUCGAUGUCCGUAAUGACGUAUGGUAGGUGAAAUACAAUCGGUGAAAUACAAAAAUACAAAUACGAUUAUCCUUGUUACGACACAGAUACGAAUAAUCGCCAACUCGCCAAGGGAAUGUAGAUCACUCUCCAUGAUAUAGAAUCAGAUAUAACAAGAGGCUGUGUAAGAAAAAUGUCUGAUGCUAUUAAUAAUGUGACGAAAGUAAAAAUGUAAGCGCCUAGCCUUUUUAUUGUAAGUAAAUAAAAUAAAUUAAGUAUAAUUUAAGUUCUGGUUAAGUUGUUAUUUUUAAUUACGACCAGUGGAAGUUAUAAAUCUAAAGAAACUUGGAAGCAAUUCAUUCUAUGGUCACUUACUUACAAAUAUUCGUUGGUCUACCUAUUUUAAUUUUACUGAACCUAUUCCGGUAAUAGCUUGUGAGGUUACAAUACAAUACAACUAUACAAUACAAGUACAAUAGUUCCUAAUUUGUUCCUAUUGGACAGAUUUGUAGCCUCACUACAGUGCACACGUGUGUUGAAAUAAAAGUUGAGAAACAUUGAGAAGAAAUUCAAUCAAUUAUUUUUAUGUCCUAUUUCGAGGCAUGAGCAAUAUAUUUAAUGAAAAUUUCAACGAAUAUUAUACGAAGCACCAUUGAAUGCCACCUAUCGGAUAAAAGUCGGGUUUU